rnacentral:rRNA from 1 species
GACGAACGCUGGCGGCGUGCUUAACACAUGCAAGUCGAACGGAAAGGCCCGGCUUUUGUGGGGUUCUCGAGUGGCGAGCGGGUGAGUAACACGUGAGUAACCUGCCCUUGACUUUGGGGUAACUUCACGAGACUGGGGCUCAUACCGGGUAUGAGCUCCUGCUGCAUGGUGGGCGUUGGAAAGUUUCGGCGGUUGGGGAUGGUCUCGCGGCUUAUGAGCUUGUUGGUGUGGUAGUGGCUGACCAAGGGUUUGACGGGUAGCCGGCCUGAGAGGGUGACCGGCCACAUGGGGACUGAGAUACGGACCAGACUGGUACGUGAGGCAGCAGGGGGGAGUAUUGCACAAUGGGCGGGAGCCUGAUGCAGCAACGUUGCGUGCGGGAUGACCUCCUUCGGGUUGAAAACCGCUGUCGCCGGUGACGAAGCGUGAGUGACGGUAAUGGGUAAAGAAGCACCGGCUAACUACGUG